rnacentral:lncRNA from 1 species
AGAGGUCGGGGGCCACGCGGCUUCCCAACUCACUGUUGUUGGGUCUUUCUCAGCCCAUCCAUCCCUAGCUCUAGGUUUAGAUAGGCCUCAGGAUGGCAUACGGGCCCGUUCAUUGGACCGACCUUCGUACCUUGGCCUGUUGCUUGGGCUUGGCCCAACCACCGGGGCGGAGCUGCCAAGAAGUCGUUGCAUGAGAGUCGAGGCAUCUCCUGGUGGGUGUCGCAGGGGCUGAGCCCACCACUCCGCGCAGUUGCUCGAAGGGGACGGUUGGCCUCCCUAGGGCUGCGCUCUUACAUCUGCCGCCUCCCCUCUCCUCCCCACUCUUGCGCUUGCCUGUCCUU